rfam:Hordeum vulgare subsp. vulgare, WGS project CAJW01000000 data, contig: morex_contig_112840
UAUAUACUCCCUUCGUCCCAAAAUUCUUGUUUUAGAUUUCUCUAAAUAUGAAUGUAUCUAGUCACGUUUUAGUAUUUAAAUACAUCCAUCUCUAGACAAACUUAAGACAAGAAUUUUGGGACGGAGGGAAUAGUAG